CCAGAAUCCCGAGUGUGAGGGGACCUCCCCCGCCCCCCCAAGGCCUGAAGUUCUCUGGAUUGAGGUUGACUUCUGAGAAGUGGGGGAAAAUCUGGCAGGAGAAAUCCCAAGAGUUCCUGCCCCCUUGAGGGAAGGGUUAGUGUAUGAUUUUCACCACUGCUUUGGGAAUAACCCCCAUCCCCAUAGACGUAGCUGUAGCUGUAUUUAGCAAGGUAUGAAAACUCCCUUUUGAGUGUUCUUUGGCCAUCUGAGUGUUCCUGAUUCUGUGGCUCCCCUUCUGAAGCUAUAGAACACAUUUUCUUUUCCUGCCCAAUAGUAGCUCCAGGUUCCUCUCCAAGCAGGUCACAACCAAGCUCCAGGAGAACCCCCAAAGGCAAGCAUUUAUUUAAUGAAUUCACCGCACUAGCUAUCUUUCAUGGUGUUAGCUUCAACAUUUAACCUUCAGUACCCUGUUCUGGCUUCUAUCCCUGCCACUCCACAAGACCUAGCUUUGCUACAGCUUCAACUCAAGUAAGAAGCCUUCCAUGUGCCCUCCAUAUCUUGCUCCUCCAGAGGAAAC
rnacentral:lncRNA from 1 species